rnacentral:rRNA from 1 species
UACGUAGGGUGCGAGCGUUAAUCGGAAUUACUGGGCGUAAAGCGUGCGCAGGCGGUUCGUUGUGUCGGCGGUGAAAGCCCCGGGCUUAACCUGGGAAUGGCCGUUGAAACUGGCGAACUGGAGUGUGGCAGAGGGGGGUGGAAUUCCGGCGUGUAGCAGUGAAAUGCGUAGAGAUGCGGAGGAACACCGAUGGCGAAGGCAGCCCCCCUGGGCUAACACUGACGCUCAGGCACGAAAGCGUGGGGAGCAAACAGG